AUUGAAGGCUGAAAUUCGCCUUCAUGAAGCUGGAAUUGCUAGUAAUGGCAGGUCAGCAUACUGCCGUGAAUACGUUCCCGGGCCUUGUACACACCGCCCGUCACACCAUGAGAGUUGGGAAUACCCGAAGCCUGUGAGCUAACGUAAGAGGCAGCAGUCGAAGGUAGAAUCAAUGAUUGGGGUGAAGUCGUAACAAGGUAGC
rnacentral:rRNA from 1 species